GUCUCUGUGCACCAAAUACUGGCGAGAUGGCACCGUGUUGAAAAGUCCAAACAGUGUCUGUGAGUUAAAAUGGCCGCCAUCCAUUGUUCUCACCAUGUUCUUCUGAUACAGGAAAUGGUGGCCACCCAGUAACUCCACAGUAUGUCCCCAGAUGGUUCUUAAAGGGCCAGCAGCAGCACAACACAAAUCCAUUAUGCCCAAAUCAUGUCUUUAAAGGGCAAUACAUCCCAG
rnacentral:lncRNA from 1 species